AAUGACUCUCGGCAACGGAUAUCUCGGCUCUCGCAUCGAUGAAGAACGUAGCGAACUGCGAUACUUGGUGUGAAUUGCAGAAUCCCGUGAACCAUCGAGUCUUUGAACGCAAGUUGCGCCCGAAGCCAUCAGGCCGAGGGCACGUCUGCCUGGGCGUCACGCA
rnacentral:rRNA from 1 species